rnacentral:lncRNA from 12 species
AACACAUGUCCUACUUUUCUUUUUAUUACAUAAUAUCACAUAUUAAUUAUAAUUUUAACCCUUAGAAACUUUAUAGUGAAAAAUAAUGAGCAAUUGAGAACCGUUAAUUUACUUAAUGCAUCUUUAGAUUGAUGAAUACAUUCAGAAUUGGCCAAUCUCUAGAAAUAUGUGCUUCUUCAUAACAUAAUCUUCCAAUAAAUAAAAUCUUUAAAAAUAAUUAAUUAAACUACUCUCAGGUCAUUACAAACACAGGUGAUUUCAUUGAAACUCAGCGAUUCGAUGAAACAUAUUACCAAUUACACCUUUUCUUGUCUGAAAUAAUGGAAGACUCCCAAGCAAUUGCAAGAAUAGCGGAGUAUCAUUGAUCCAGGUCUCCCCAACACUGCUAUCUUACGUGACCACGGCAGGUUAUCAGAAGCGUAUCAUCAAUUAGUUUUUGAAGAUCCUGAAGUCUUCUUUUUCUUUUUCUUUUUUUUUUUUUUUUUUUUUUUUUUUGAUCCUGAAGUUUUCAAAGUUAGUAGUAUUUUUAAGAUCCCUUUCGGAUACUGGGAAGGGAGGUUUCCUUGGAAACAGCCGGGUCAGAAAGGUCAAGGAGAUAAUGGU